GACGAACGCUGGCGGCGUGCUUAACACAUGCAAGUCGAACGAAGAGCGAUGGAAGCUUGCUUCUAUCAAUCUUAGUGGCGAACGGGUGAGUAACGCGUAAUCAACCUGCCCUUCAGAGGGGGACAACAGUUGGAAACGACUGCUAAUACCGCAUACGAUCUAAUCUCGGCAUCGAGGAAAGAUGAAAGGUGGCCUCUAUUUAUAAGCUAUCACUGAAGGAGGGGAUUGCGUCUGAUUAGCUAGUUGGAGGGGUAACGGCCCACCAAGGCGAUGAUCAGUAGCCGGUCUGAGAGGAGGAACGGCCACAUUGGGACUGAGACACGGCCCAGACUCCUACGGGAGGCAGCAGUGGGGAAUCUUCCGCAAUGGACGAAAGUCUGACGGAGCAACGCCGCGUGAGUGAUGACGGCCUUCGGGUUGUAAAGCUCUGUUAAUCGGGACGAAAGGCCUUCUUGCGAACAGUUAGAAGGAUUGACGGUACCGGAAGAGAAAGCCACGGCUAACUACGUG
rnacentral:rRNA from 1 species